rnacentral:rRNA from 1 species
UGGGGAAUUUUGGACAAUGGGCGAAAGCCUGAUCCAGCAAUGCCGCGUGUGUGAAGAAGGCCUUCGGGUUGUAAAGCACUUUUGUCCGGAAAGAAAUCCUUGGCUCUAAUACAGUCGGGGGAUGACGGUACCGGAAGAAUAAGCACCGGCUAACUACGUGCCAGCAGCCGCGGUAAUACGUAGGGUGCAAGCGUUAAUCGGAAUUACUGGGCGUAAAGCGUGCGCAGGCGGUUUGCUAAGACCGAUGUGAAAUCCCCGGGCUCAACCUGGGAACUGCAUUGGUGACUGGCAGGCUAGAGUAUGGCAGAGGGGGGUAGAAUUCCACGUGUAGCAGUGAAAUGCGUAGAGAUGUGGAGGAAUACCGAUGGCGAAGGCAGCCCCCUGGGCCAAUACUGACGCUCAUGCACGAAAGCGUGGGGGAGCAAACAGGAUUAGAUGCCCCUGGUAGUCCACGCCCUAAACGAUGUCAACUAGUUGUUGGGGAUUCAUUUCCUUAGUAACGUAGCUAACGCGUGAAGUUGACCGCCUGGGGAGUACGGUCGCAAGAUUAAAACUCAAAGGAAUUGACGGGGUCAUAGCUGUUUCCU